GACGAACGCUGGCGGCGUGCUUAACACAUGCAAGUCGAACGAAGUGGCGAACGGGUGAGUAACGCGUAAUCAACCUGCCCUUCAGAGGGGGACAACAGUUGGAAACGACUGCUCAUACCGCAUACUGAAGGAGGGGAUUGCGUCUGAUUAGCUAGUUGGCGGGGUAACGGCCCACCAAGGCGAAGAUCAGUAGCCUGUCUGAGAUGGGUAACUGCCACAUUUGGACUGGUGAACGGCCCAGACUCCUACGGGAUGCAGCAGGGGGGAAUCUUCCGCAAUGGACGAAAGGCUGACGGAGGAACGCCGCGUGAGUGAUGGCGGCCUUCGGGGUGGAAAGCUCUGUUAAUCGGGACGCGGUACCGGAAUAGAAAGCCACGGCUAACUACGUGCCAGCAGCCGCGGUAAUAC
rnacentral:rRNA from 1 species